UGAAAAAAUUUCAUACCAGAAACCUGUGGGAG
rnacentral:sRNA from 1 species